GAGAUAUGCCUUCCGUUGACUUGAAUUGUUCCGAUCGAUGUUUAAAUCUGUCUAGACUCUAGAGGGUGUCCACUCCGAUUUCACUUUGGUUCAAGAUUGAAGUUAACUUGUUUAUGAAUUAGGAUGUUAGCAUGCGACAUCCAGAUGAUAUUCAUUUUAACUGGUUUAACAUAUAUAUGCAUUUGAAUGUUGCACUUGGAUUCGAAAUUAAUUGUUUUGAGAGUGAUUUUCUGCCUACCAAACGAGACCACUACAACACAUCAAUCAAGAAAAUUGGCCGAGAUUUUUCUAUAGAAAGAUGGCAAAAUCCUCGGCCUCCCGAAAAUACAAAUAUGCCGUCUGUUUCGGCGGCUCGGCCCGUAUAAUAGUGUUUUCGGGAGACAAGUCCUAGAACCACUUCUCAUAACCUUCCAAUAGAGAGACCACUUCCAAAUCACCAGAAGCAGACAAAGUAAUUUAAUCUACUUGUACGGAGUAACGGGGGGAUGUCCGCAUCAUAAACAUGCGGAGCACGCCCUCUCGACCAAGGUGAUAUCCAGUCAGAGACCAAACAUAUUGCCCAGGCCCCAAUACAGUCAGAUCACUUCACUAUACUGCUAACUAAAAGCACUUUGUAAUCGUUGACCUAGGUCCUACGACAAGUCGACAAGAU